rnacentral:tRNA from 1 species
GGUGGGGUGGCUGAGCGGUUGAAGGCGGCGGUCUUGAAAACCGUUAGAGGAGCAAUCCUCUCGUGAGUUCGAAUCUCACCCCCACCG